GUGCAUGUAACUCAAUGGAAGAGUGGUGGCCUUCGAAUAAACAAUUGGUAAGAAGACAGCCAAGGGUUGCGGGUUCAAAUCCUGUCAUGCACACCA
rnacentral:tRNA from 1 species